rnacentral:hammerhead_ribozyme from 1 species
AUUAAUCUGAAGAGUCCAAAAUAAGGCGAAAUGCGUGUCCUGGAU